AGAUGAGGUAGGGGAAGAGGCCAUACAUUUGGGCUUUCGUGCAUGUCAUGGUGUGGCUAAGUUGGAAACGUGGUAAUGAGAAAAGAUUUCCUAGAGAGACUGAUAGUGCCCAGGAUCCUGUGCCGGCAAUGGCUGCCACUUUCUGGCUGUGUGAUCACGGGCAUAGCUGAGACUAUAAAAAGUGUGAAUAAAUGAACACGGUGUUGGAGAGAAGAGAAACAUCAUGUGCUAUUCCAUCGGCAACGGGAGGAUUCUUUGGAGCCAGUGUUGCCUUGGUGGGUGUGAGGUUCUUAUCUGCAACCUUGGGAAAUCCGAGUUUUCUCUCUUCCAGGGGUGUAACGACUGAGUAUUGAUACGUAAGAGAAAAGGAGACAGCAGCUACCUACAGAGAAGCACUCUCAGCAAGGCCUGAGGGCCACCCACGAAACACAGACCCACCACUUCUGGCUCCGUGACCAUCACCCCGCUCGAGGCCCCUGUCAGUUCUCCGGAGGAAGACCGUUCAAAGAUCUUCUCAUCAUGUGCCCCGUUUCCACUUUGGCUCUACCAAACCCACCUCCUGUGCAACGGCUGGAACAAUCGUCUCACAAUCUAAGUAGAAUUGCAUCACUGCCCCGCUCAUAGCGGAGUGAGACCUAUCUAUCUGCCCGUUGGAACGGGCCCCAGCCCCUGGCUAUGUCGCCUGCCUUGACUUGCCUUCCUACCUCUCUCCAGCCCCAGCCGCUCCGCCUCCCUGGCUGCUUUUGGGAACCUCAGACACUCCAGCCCUGGGCUCGGUCUUCCGGGCUGCCCCUUCCCUUGUAGAGGUCUCCACUGAAUGGUCACCUGCUCAGAGAGGCUUUCCCUGGUCCUCAGGCAUGCGCUCGUCCUAUUUAUUUCAUGCCGUUCCUAGCUUUCGUCUCGGUCUGCGCUGUUGUUGACUUGCGUGUUGAUGUGUUUCCUACCCGUCUCUUCUUCCCAGGACGCACGUUGCAAGAGCCCUCUUAGGACAUGCCGAUGUGCUCGGUACCUGAACAGGGGAACAGGUUUGCCGCCUGGAAGCACAAACACACUCUGAAUUAUCGGGAUUGAGUGGCAGAGAAAUACAGCAUGUUAGGGUUGCCAGGGU